CUACCUUUACGCGCGGGAUAACAGGUUUAUCCUUGUCGGGCGUUUCGCCAGACACUAAUUUAUUGUGGAC
rnacentral:sRNA from 1 species